AAUUCCGAUCUCUCCCCUUCAGCUUUUCUUUAGCACAUUCCAGCAGUUUGCAGCUUCUGAGACGUGGCAUUGCUCCGUCCCCACAGUCUAAGUCAAUACUUACCGCAGGUACCAAUAGCAUCUUCACAGUCUCAACCACAAAUAGGCCAGCUCCACAGCCAUAAUCUCUUCCUCUACGUCUGAGGAAAAAGGCAUAGAUCCCUCAGAAAAGACACCAGCAAGACUGCCUCUUGCACCUUCCACUAGGUCAGAUGCUGACGCCUCGGUGGAUACUUCAGCAAAAGUACGGUCGGGAUCAUGUUCUAUUUGCAGCAUGCCUAGAAACCUUAAAUAAGAUCCUCAAGGUGAAGGUCAAGGUUGAUUUGUGAUUCUGAACACUGGCUUGAGAAGGUAAUUAAAUCAAGGAUAUGGAGCUAAAGCAGGUGUGAUUUAAUGAAUGAUGAAGCAGACUCAAAGAUGCCUUUUCCUCUUCCCCUGUCUCAAAGACAUCAUUCUAUAAGCAGUGAGGGAAACGGAUUUCCCAACACUUACGCUUUUAAAAGGUUCUUGGAAACCCAGAAGAUGAUAACAUCCUUCAGACAAUAAGGAAUUAAAUUUAGGAGUGACUGGGGACACUGACCAAUGUAGAAGAAAUUUUACUACAUUAAAUAAACAUGCCCGGGAAAUAAUCAAGUUUUCUUGUUUGCCUUUCCAUCAAGGACUGAAUGUUUCUUGGGAAAUGUCAUUAAUAUUUUAUCCAUUAUAAAAUGCUUGCUAAUCUGCCAUUCUCAACU